AAAGUUGCAUCAACUUUGACUCUGUCAUUAAGAACUUCAAUUAUUGAUGAAGGUAGCAUUCAAAUGGAGCCAUUCAUUAAAUUUUAGAACUUCAAUUAUUGAUGCACGUUAGAGUGAGGCUGCAAUUAUUUGGUUAAAGAACUUCCAAGUAUUGAUGCAGGUAUACUUCAACUACUGGACAUUUGUGAUGGUGUGUGUUCAACUCUGGGCCUUAUUGAGGUCACGGGAAGGAGGUGGCGGAUGACAAUCCACUACAAAUUUGAAAGGGAUUAGAAGUUCAUUUCUUUUGCAAUCUUUUGUAUAUUAAGCCUUUCUUUUGUAAAAGCAUCAUUUGAAUAUCAAGUUGAAAAACAUGGCUUUGUAAUAUAACUUUAAACUCAUGAUAAUAUUUUUGAUGUAAAUUGGGAUAAAUGUAAAGACUAUGCAUUA